CACAGUGUAGGGAUCCCAGGAGGCUUCCUGGCUUUAGGGUUUCAAAGUCAGGGGAGCAGGAAGAAGUCAUAUUUGUGAAAAAACCCCUUGCCAUGAGUGAGGCUCCCCUAUCCAGAACCCGCCCAGGCAGGUUCCAGGGUGGGGGCAGGAAGGGGAGGGUCAGGCAUCGCCCCAGGCCUGGGGUUGAGCCCAAAGAAGCCAGAACCUCAGGUAGGAACAGCUUCUCCAGGAUUCUAGGAAGUCUCCUGCCAGCCCAUAGGGAUGGCAGGGAAUCAGCCAAAGGACCCCAGAACGCAGGUGAUGGGAAAGGGACAGCCACAGCUCCAUGUGGGACCUCACAGGUAGGAUGCAGCUUGCCCCAGGGGCAUGUCCCUGCUCUCACACCUGUUCCCAACACCUUGGCAAGCAGGGAACUCAGGACAAGAAGGGAAGGUGUGGUGAGAAGAGGUGGGAAUCAACCAGCCCGACUGGCAAAAUGACAGCAGAAAAUAGAAAUCAAAUUCAAGUCCCCUGUGAACUGGAACUCCUACCUACCACAAGGGUAAAAGCCCCACUUGUGUGGGACAUGAAAGGCCCUGUUCUUUGGGCACCAGAGAGGUUGAGUCAUUUGCCCAAGUUUGCACAGCAGGAGUGAGCAGAGCUGGGAUUUGCGCUCAGGCCCUGGCUCCAGUCCCUGUGCUCUUGGUCACCAAACUAUGCUGCCAAGGGAGGUUGUGUCUCCCCAAGGCCUGGACAGCCUGUGCCAGAGUGUGGUGCUCGGAGUCAGGCUGGGCCGGGGUUACAGCCCCUGGGAUUGUGGGUUUGAACGCCAAGAGGCCCUCAGGUGGGCAGAGGGCUGAUUGUCAGUCUAGGGCAUGUGGCGGCUGGGCUAGGUCCUCUUGCCCAGACCAUGACCCAGGUGCCCUCUCUGCCUACUGAGUACCAGGGAGCGGCAGGUAAGGCCAGCAGGACAGGUUCUUCAACGUUCUCUGCCUGAGCUGCUGGUUUCCUGCACCCUCGUGUUCUUCCUGGAGAAAAGGACGCACAGAUGCUCCAGAAAUGAGCCCAGAGAGGUCAAGUAAUCGGCCAGGGGCCACACAGGGAAUGCUGGGUGAACGAAGACUGCCCCUGAGGGAGACUGGAAGGGAAGCAGAGGGCUUGGGGGCAGAGCUGGGUCCUACCCCUGCCCCUGUAGAGGGCUCUGGGAGGCUGCGCGGGUGGCCAGGCCCCAGACAGGUUUCCAAUGGAGGCACUUGGCUGUUGUCCUUGAUGCUCCCCCUCACCACCCACAACCAAACCAGCAUGACUGUCAGUUUUAGGGCCUAAAUACUCUCAAACCAGACCACGACCCCCACAGCCAGCUCCCAGCCUGGACUACCACCCUGUCUCUGCACUGGCUUUCCCUCUGCUCUCCCUGCUCCCACCCUCACCCACUGACAGUCUCUUCUCCGCCUGCAGCCAAAAGGAUCCUGAUAGAACCCAAGUCAUAUCCUGUCCUUCCUCCACCUACAACCUUCCAUGGCUCUCUACUCACUCAGGAAAAAAUAUAAACUUCACGGUGGCCCAGGCCCUGCCCUGCUCUCCUGUCUCACCACCACUGUCCACCACCUGCCUCCUCAGAUCUGGGCUCCUGCCAGAUGGGGAAAUGAGACAUAGGGAGGUGAAGCUGAUUAAGCAAUGGAACUUGGUAUGAAGACCAUGUCUAACUUUAAAGGCUGUCCUUGUGCAAAGAAGAGAGACAUAGAAAACUGAUGAUAUCAUUCAAGUACCUGGAUCCAGCUAUGCCUGAAGCAAACCCACCCCUGAAUUUUUUUUUUUAAUGUGACCCAAUAAAUUCUCUUCCACUUAAA